GGGGAUAUGGCGGAAUGGUAGACGCUACGGACUUAAAAUCCGUUCAACUCCCAAGUUGGUGAGGGUUCAAGUCCCUCUAUCCCCA
rnacentral:tRNA from 1 species